rnacentral:rRNA from 1 species
CGCGUGGGAAUCUACCUAGUAGUGGGGACGAACAGUCGGAAACGAACUGCUAAUACCGCCAUACGCCCUACCGGGGGAAAGGACGGGGGAGGUCUUCGGUACCGUCCGUGCUAUUAGUAUGAGCCCGCCGUAAGAUUAGCUAGUUGGUGGGGUAAGUGGCCGUACCAAGGCGACGAUCUUUAGUCUGGUCUGAGAGGAUGAUCAGCCACAUUGGGACGUGAGACACGGCCCAAACCACCUACGGGAGGCAGCAGUGGGGAAGUAUUGCACAAUGGGCGCAAGCCUGAUGCAGCCAUGCCG